CAUUAUCUCUGUGAAGAGGCAUAUUCUGUAAAUGAAAGGAGAAAAUUGAUUAGACUGAGAGUUCAACUCGAGCUCUUUCUCACUCGCACAAUGUGAAUACUUGAAGAAGGGAAAUUGUUCCUAAAAUAUCUUAUAACCUCUUGUACAUAACUAUGGCGCGCAACACACCCUUGCACAACACUCAACUAGAUGCGGUUUUUCAAACUUCCUAGGAUACUAUUGAACCUUAGGCUAUGAUACCAAGUUUGUA
rnacentral:lncRNA from 1 species